rnacentral:rRNA from 1 species
GUAAGGAAUAUUGGACAAUGGGGGAAACCCUGAUCCAGCCAUGCCGCGUGAGUGAAGAAGGCCUUCGGGUUGUAAAACUCUUUCAGAUGUGAAGAUGAUGACGGUAACAUCAGAAGAAGCUCCGGCUAACUUCGUGCCAGCAGCCGCGGUAAUACGAAGGGAGCGAGCGUUGUUCGGAAUCACUGGGCGUAAAAAGUGCGUAGGCGGUUAUACAAGUCAGGAGUGAAAUCCCAGAGCUUAACUUUGGAAUUGCUUUUGAAACUGUAUAGCUAGAGUCCCGGAGGGGUUAAUGGAAUUCCGAGUGUAGAGGUGAAAUUCGCAGAUAUUCGGAGGAACACCAGUGGCGAAGGCGAUUAACUGGACGGGCACUGACGCUGAGGCACGAAAGCGUGGGGAUCAAACAGGAUUAGAUACCCCAGUAGUCC